UACGUAGGGUGCAAGCGUUAAUCGGAAUUACUGGGCGUAAAGCGUGCGCAGGCGGUUAUGCAAGACAGAGGUGAAAUCCCCGGGCUCAACCUGGGAAUGGCAUUUGUGACUGGAAGGCUAGAGUGUGGUCAGAGGGGGGUAGAAUUCCACGUGUAGCAGUGAAAUGCGUAGAGAUGUGGAGGAAUACCGAUGGCGAAGGCAGCCCCCUGGGAUAACACUGACGCUCAUGCACGAAAGCGUGGGGAGCAAACAGGAUUACGU
rnacentral:rRNA from 1 species